AGAUUAAGUGGCUAAAUGUAUUUAAAGCCCAAGAACUAGGUCUUACACAUGUUAGCUGCUACUUUUAUUAUUUAUUACUUAUAAGCAAAUAUGCCACCCUGGGUCCUCUAUACUCUAAGAGAGGUAUUGGCUCUGUUCUCUGAAGGGUUUGUGCUGAUUCAUUGCCCUUUUUCAUCCCAAAACAUUUGUGAGGAAACUAGGUUUAAUUUGGGUUAUUGUCUGUGACUGGGAAGCAGAGUAUAAAGUUACUGGUAACAUUUGAGGGUGGAUCAUGUCAGGCCUUAACAGGUUCCCUUGUGCUUCUCCUUAUAGUUGACCCCUGUCUGUAGGUUCUGGUCGUGAAGGAGUCACCUCACAAAUAAUCUGUCUUGACUCUACCUUUGUGUAACCCCUCAUCUCUGUGGUGUAAUCUUCCUGCUCUUGGUUAUCUCACUCUAGGUCUUGCCAGAACCUCCUCUUAGCCUCCCCUCCUAGCCCUACCUCUUCCCCAAUACUAAUUAGGUGACUCAGGCUCUGAUACUGAUCCCCGAAUUCCCAAAUUCCUCUUGCCUCCAUGCUUGACAUUCUGAGCAUUUGUUCUCCUAAGUUUUACUUCCGCUGAGCCUGUCCUAUCCUCUGGACACUUUUCUACCUCCUGCCUUUUUUGCCUACUGUUGUUGGGAUACAUUGGUCGCCAUUGACAAUGGACUUUCAACCAGUAUCUAAAGCAGCAUAUCUUCUUCACCUCCAACCUCUUCCUGGUACUGUUGCUUCAUUUAAGAGAGGGCAGAAAUUCUGUGUGUUCACCAAAACUCACCACAAGUUUCUUCUACCCCCUAAAUAUACAGCUAGGCCAUAUUUCCCAGUCUCCCUUAUAGUUAGGUUUGGUCAUGGGGCUGAAUUUUGCUUGAAGGAACGUGGGUAAAAAUGAUGUCCAAUCCUCAUGAGAUCCUCUAUGCCCUCUCUCUCCUCCGCUACCUCCUGGCAAGAUAGCAAGAUUCUAACAGAGGGAUCCAAGACUAUACAAGAAGACAGAGCCAUAGGAUGCAAGGACCCCGGAUUUCUGAGUGACCACGUGGAAGGCUGCCUAUUGACCAGGAAUUGGACUUGGUGGGUGGUGUUGCCAGAGUUUGCCUGCAAAGUGGAAUCUUUGUGAAAGAAAAAGAAAGAUUUGAUGGACAAGAUUUAUUGUGUGCAAGGACUCAACUCUGUGACCCAAGAGAACGUGGGUAUCUUCACUUAAUACAAGGGCAAACACAAGA